rnacentral:ncRNA from 2 species
CAAAUUGCAUAUCACCUCUUUCGUAUAACCUUAAUGAUUGGAUUAAGGGUCUCUACUUAGAAACCGUAAAUUUCUAGCUACGAAAAAUGUGCACUGAGCA